CUCUGAUGAAGGCGGAAGUACAAGCCGAAACAUGUCAGGGCAAACGCUUCAGAGAUCGGAUGGACAGACAUGUAGUAAGAGAGAGUUUCAUGUUCCAACAGAGCGUCUCCAGAUCCUCAACAGGAAUUCAUGGUCACAGAAUGACGCCAUUCAGAGGAAUUUAUGAACGCUGCCGGCAUGCAAUUUCCUGACAGACGUUUAUUUAGUGGUGGCCAUUUCCUUACCAGCUGCAUCACCAGCAGUCCUGUGGCCUCGUUUGGAACUGGUACUUACCACAACACGAUUCUGCGCGCCGUUUGGCGGGCCUUCUGUACGGCACCUGGGCCUUCGGUGGGAACUUAAACGCCUUUAUCCAGCAACGCAGUUUAACAGCACAUAACUUUGCCAUGUACAUUGCCCGGAGUCGUACACAACGAACAGUUAAAUCACAUGACAAAAAGAUCAAACAUUGACAUUAAAUACGUGACACUCAACAGUGAUGGAGAUUAUGGCAAAAUACACAGGCGGGCUUUGCAAGGUGAGUUUGGCCACAUGUAAUUUUGCUCUUAGCAAGCAAUCCGAGGACUAACCCUAACCUGGGUUUGUGACACAUGCCAAGCGCAGGAUGAAUCCCCUAUGAGCCGACUGCUUCAAGAACAUUGCCGUUACUAAUACGAUUUAGUUA